rnacentral:rRNA from 1 species
CGCUAGCUACAGGCUUAACACAUGCAAGUCGAGGGGCAGCAUGGUCUUAGCUUGCUAAGGCCGAUGGCGACCGGCGCACGGGUGAGUAACGCGUAUCCAACCUGCCUUACACUCUUGGACAGCCUUCUGAAAGGGAGAUUAAUACAAGAUGUUAUCAUGAGUAAGCAUUUUCGCAUGAUUAAAGGUUUACCGGUGUAAGAUGGGGAUGCGUUCCAUUAGAUAGUAGGCGGGGUAACGGCCCACCUAGUCUUCGAUGGAUAGGGGUUCUGAGAGGAAGGUCCCCCACAUUGGAACUGAGACACGGUCCAAACUCCUACGGGAGGCAGCAGUGAGGAAUAUUGGUCAAUGGACGAGAGUCUGAACCAGCCAAGUAGCGUGAAGGAUGAAGGUUCUAUGGAUUGUAAACUUCUUUUAUACGGGAAUAAACGAAUCCACGCGUGGAUUUUUGCAUGUACCGUAUGAAUAAGGAUCGGCUAACUCCGUGCCAGCAGCCGCGGUAAUACGGAGGAUCCGAGCGUUAUCCGGAUUUAUUGGGUUUAAAGGGAGCGUAGAUGGGUUGUUAAGUCAGUUGUGAAAGUUUGCGGCUCAACCGUAAAAUUGCAAUUGAUACUGGCAGUCUUGAGUACAGUUGAGGUAGGCGGAAUUCGUGGUGUAGCGGUGAAAUGCUUAGAUAUCACGAAGAACUCCGAUUGCGAAGGCAGCUUACUAACCUGUAACUGACAUUGAUGCUCGAAAGUGUGGGUAUCAAACAGGAUUAGAUACCCUGGUAGUCCACACGGUAAACGAUGAAUACUCGCUGUAGGCGAUAUACAGUCUGCGGCCAAGCGAAAGCAUUAAGUAUUCCACCUGGGGAGUACGCCGGCAACGGUGAAACUCAAAGGAAUUGACGGGGGCCCGCACAAGCGGAGGAACAUGUGGUUUAAUUCGAUGAUACGCGAGGAACCUUACCCGGGCUUAAAUUGCAACCGAAUAUGGCGGAAACGCUAUAGCUAGCAAUAGCGGUUGUGAAGGUGCUGCAUGGUUGUCGUCAGCUCGUGCCGUGAGGUGUCGGCUUAAGUGCCAUAACGAGCGCAACCCUUGCCGAUAGUUACUAACAGGUCAUGCUGAGGACUCUGUCGGGACUGCCAUCGUAAGAUGUGAGGAAGGUGGGGAUGACGUCAAAUCAGCACGGCCCUUACGUCCGGGGCUACACACGUGUUACAAUGGGGGGUACAGAGGGCUGCUACCACGCAAGUGGAUGCCAAUCCCAAAAACCUCUCUCAGUUCGGAUUGAAGUCUGCAACCCGACUUCAUGAAGCUGGAUUCGCUAGUAAUCGCGCAUCAGCCACGGCGCGGUGAAUACGUUCCCGGGCCUUGUACACACCGCCCGUCAAGCCAUGGGAGCCGGGGGUACCUGAAGUGCGUAACCGCAAGGAGCGCCCUAGGGUAAAACUGG